rnacentral:rRNA from 1 species
CCAAAAACAUAGCCCUUGAAAAUAUCAAAGGUGUAACCUGCCCAAUGAUUAAAGAUUAAAUAAAACUAAUAUUUUUAUAAUAUAAUUAAAAGGACGCAGUAACCUGACUGUGAUAAUGUAGCAUAAUCAUUCGCCAUUUAAUUGAUGGAUAGUAUGAAUGGUUGAACGAAUUCUUCACUGUCUUAAAAAAAGAAGUCAUGAAAUUAAAAUAAUAGUUAAGAUGCUAUUUAAAAUUGUAAGACGAAAAGACCCUAUAGAGCUUAACUAUUAAUUUCUUUAAAAAUUAAAAAUCACUAGGAAAUUAGGUAGUUUAGUUGGGGCGACUAUCCUCUAAAAAUAACGAGGACAAGCAAUGUUAAUAUAACUUAUUGUAUAAUUAAUAAAUUUAACAAUUACAAAAGUAGGCUAUAAUGACCCGUUAUUAUAAAAAAAUAUAAAUAACGAUCAAUAAAUAAAAGCUACCUUAGGGAUAACAGGAUAAUUUUGUCCUAGAGACCAUAUCGAAGACAAAGUUUGUCACCUCUAUGUUGAAUUAAGAUAUCCUGAUAAUGCAGAAGUUAUCAAAGGUGGGUCUGUUCGACCCUUAAAAUCUUACAUGAUUU